rnacentral:sRNA from 2 species
AUGUACCACUCGUACACUGCGGUUCCUGCGCGCCGUCCGCGCCC